rnacentral:rRNA from 1 species
AUGGAUCCGGGCGGGACAAUGCUGCUGGAGGACUUCAGGCAGCGGGUGGACCUGACGCGCCGCAUCCGCGAGGUGCUGGCCAACUACCCGGAGGGCACCACCGUGCUGCGGGAGCUCAUCCAGAACACUGACGACGCCGGGGCCUCGCGGGUCCACCUCUGCCUCGACCGCCGCGCCCAUGGGGCCCGCUCGCUGCUCGCCCCGUCCCUCGCGCAGUGGCAGGGCCCUGCCCUGCUCGCCCACAACGACGCUGCCUUCACCGACGACGACUUCGCCAGCAUCUCCUGCAUCGGUGGCAGCAAGAAGGCCUCCCAGGCCUGGAAGACCGGCCGCUUCGGGUCUGUCAUUGAAGUUCGCAAUGGGUUUACAUUUCUUGACCUUAUUGUGAUUCAGAUUGAGUCCCUGAACAAGAAGUAUGGAUGCAGUGUUCCUUUGCUUCUAAUGAACUCUUUCAACAAUCAUGAUGACACACAGAAGAUUAUUGAGAAGUGCUCCAACUCCAACAUUGAAAUUCACACUUUCAACCAGGCCCUGCUUGACAAGCUCGUGGUGCUCAAGCUCAACGGAGUCCUCGGCACCACCAUGGGUUGCACCGGCCUCAAGUGA